UUGUCCGGAAUUAUUGGGCGUAAAGAGCUUGUAGGCGGUCUGUCGCGUCUGCUGUGAAAAUCCGGGGCUCAACCCCGGACUUGCAGUGGGUACGGGCAGACUAGAGUGUGGUAGGGGAGACUGGAAUUCCUGGUGUAGCGGUGAAAUGCGCAGAUAUCAGGAGGAACACCGAUGGCGAAGGCAGGUCUCUGGGCCACUACUGACGCUGAGAAGCGAAAGCAUGGGGAGCGAACAGG
rnacentral:rRNA from 1 species